rnacentral:rRNA from 1 species
GACGAACGCUGGCGGCGUGCUUAACACAUGCAAGUCGAACGCUGAAGCUCAGCUUUUGUUGGGUGGAUGAGUGGCGAAUGGGUGAGUAACACGUGAGUAACCUGCCCCCUUCUUUGGGAUAACGCCCGGAAACGGGUGCUAAUACUGGAUAUUCACUGGUCUUCGCAUGGGGGUUGGUGGAAAGGGUUUUUCUGGUGGGGGAUGGGCUCGCGGCCUAUCAGCUUGUUGGUGGGGUGAUGGCCUACCAAGGCUUUGACGGGUAGCCGGCCUGAGAGGGUGACCGGUCACAUUGGGACUGAGAUACGGCCCAGACUCCUACGGGAGGCAGCAGUGGGGAAUAUUGCACAAUGGGCGCAAGCCUGAUGCAGCGACGCCGCGUGAGGGAUGGAGGCCUUCGGGUUGUGAACCUCUUUCGCUCAUGGUCAAGCCGCAACAAUGGUUGUGGUGAGGGUAGUGGGUAAAGAAGCGCCGGCUAACUACGUG